rnacentral:rRNA from 1 species
CGCUGGCGGCGUGCUUAACACAUGCAAGUCAAGGUAGAAAGUUUUACUUCGGAAAAUUAUUAAACUGGCGAACGGGUGAGUAACGCGUAGGCAACCUGCCCUAGAGAUUGGGAUAACCCCGGAAACCGGGGCUAAUACUGAAUGAUGCAACUGAUCCUUCGGGAUACAGUUGUUAAAGUGGGCUUCGGCUCACACUUUAGGAUGGGCCUGCGUCCGAUUAGCUUGUUGGUGAGGUAACGGCUUACCAAGGCGAUGAUCGGUAGCUGGUCUGAGAGGAUGAUCAGCCACACUGGGAUUGAGAUACGGCCCAGACUCCUACGGGAGGCAGCAGUGGGGAAUUUUGCGCAAUGGGGGGAAACCCUGACGCAGCAACGCCGCGUGACCGAUGAAGCUUUUAGGAGCGUAAAGGUCUGUCGUAAGGGAAGAAAAGUUUGGAUGUUAAUAACAUUCGAACCUGACGGUACCUUACAAGAAAGCACCGGCUAACUUAGUGCCAGCAGCCGCGGUAA